CAAAAUCAGUCCUUAAGUAUAGAAAUACAGACCAUAUCUAGACCGUCAGAUCUGGAGAUUAAUGGCUAAGAUCUGGAGUGACUCCUCGUUUUAUAUGGGUCAUAAUAAGGCCGAUCUAUGUCAUGUUAGGGGUAAUUUAGGAAACAAAAAUAUUAAUAACUGUCGUUCCGUUUUUAGGCCCUGAUUAAUUGGGAUUGGGAGUAAUUACUGCACACGUUCCAUUCUAUUUCACUCUCUUUCAACAAAAACUCUCCAAUCUCCCUCAAAUCUUCUUCUUCUACCACCAAAUCAACAAAAAAUCAUUCAACAAAAAAUCGUCUCGGCCCCUCAAAAUCGUCGUCUCCUCCACAGAUUCGUCUUCUCCUCCACAAAAAUGUCGCCUCCUCAAAAACCCUAUUCCUACUCCAGAAAAUCGACGGAGAAGGGGAACCAAAACCUACUUUACCACCAAAUCAACAAAAACCCUUCUCCAAAUCAACAAAAACCCUUCUCCAAAUCAAAGCGUCUCCACCUCAAAACCGUCGUCUCCUCCACAAAAUCGUUGUCUCCACCAGAAAAUCGAAUCCUCCACGAUUUUGGAAGACGGUGAACCAAAAGCCUACUUCAACAAUGGUGGACACUCGAGCAUCUGGAUCUGCUAGUCAUGACGGAAAAAUGUAUCAGAGAACGAACGUGAAGAAGAAGAUUUUGCGGAUCCCUAAAGCACCGAAAUAGGACGUUCUUUUGUAAGUAUUUAACAAUGAUUGGUUGUCACAAUCAAUGCAAAUCAGUGAUCAACGCACCUAUUCA